UACCGCAACGAGCGCAACCCUUGCCUUUAGUUACCAGCACGUUAUGGUGGGCACUCUAAGGAGACUGCCGGUGACAAACCGGAGGAAGGUGGGGAUGACGUCAAGUCAUCAUGGCCCUUACGGCCUGGGCUACACACGUGCUACAAUGGUCGGUACAAAGGGUUGCCAAGCCGCGAGGUGGAGCUAAUCCCAUAAAACCGAUCGUAGUCCGGAUCGCAGUCUGCAACUCGACUGCGUGAAGUCGGAAUCGCUAGUAAUCGUGAAUCAGAAUGUCACGGUGAAUACGUUCCCGGGCCUU
rnacentral:rRNA from 1 species